UACGAAGGGGGCUAGCGUUGCUCGGAAUCACUGGGCGUAAAGGGUGCGUAGGCGGGUUUUUAAGUCAGGGGUGAAAUCCUGGAGCUCAACUCCAGAACUGCCUUUGAUACUGAAGAUCUUGAGUCCGGGAGAGGUGAGUGGAACUGCGAGUGUAGAGGUGAAAUUCGUAGAUAUUCGCAAGAACACCAGUGGCGAAGGCGGCCCACUGGGCCGGAACUGACGCUGAGGCGCGAAGGCGUGGGGAGCGAACGG
rnacentral:rRNA from 1 species